rnacentral:rRNA from 2 species
UACGUAGGUGGCAAGCGUUGUCCGGAUUUAUUGGGCGUAAAGGGAGCGCAGGCGGUGACUUAAGUCUGAUGUGAAAGCCCACGGCUCAACCGUGGAAGGUCAUUGGAAACUGGGUCACUUGAGUGCAGAAGAGGAAAGUGGAAUUCCAUGUGUAGCGGUGAAAUGCGUAGAUAUAUGGAGGAACACCAGUGGCGAAGGCGACUUUCUGGUCUGUAACUGACGCUGAGGCUCGAAAGCGUGGGGAGCAAACAGG